CNGGCAGAGGCUGAGGGAGAGAGAGAGGAGGGGAGGAGGACUCAGGGCGUAGGAGCCGGGGAGCCCUCCCGCGCCACAGAAAAUUUCCAGAGAAUUGGUGAAGAUAGGAAAGCUGUCAAAAAGACCAUAGGACUAUUGUACUGGAGCCAUUACUGGUCAACCAGAGUUACCAUAUGAGAAAACCUAUCCGCUGUUGCUGGAAUAGAGAGUUUGGGAUGCGUACUGAAAGUUCUGCAUCUUCUCUCCUCAUGAGUAGCAUUUGAUGUAACCCAAGAUAAAGAGAUUGACUGUCUUAGA